AGGUUUCUGAUUGACUGGUGCAACCUAUCAAGAUCGCCGCUAUGCCAUCAAGUAUCAGUCAACCUUUGGUAGCAUGCAGCAAUAUGCAUAUUACCAUGAGGAAGAUGAGUCAACCUUCCAGCACGUGUUCAAGACAAACGUGCCCAAACCUCUUUACCAGCGUGGUAGAUACAUGCGCAAUCAGCGUAACAUGAAAAACCAGAGGAACCAGAAGGGCCCCCAGAUGCAAGUUCUUGGCAAGGGAAACAAAAGAGAGUUAGUACGAAAG